UACGUAGGUGGCAAGCGUUGUCCGGAAUUAUUGGGCGUAAAGCGCGCGCAGGCGGUCCUUUAAGUCUGAUGUGAAAGCCCACGGCUCAACCGUGGAGGGUCAUUGGAAACUGGGGGACUUGAGUGCAGGAGGAGAAGAGUGGAAUUCCACGUGUAGCGGUGAAAUGCGUAGAGAUGUGGAGGAACACCAGUGGCGAAGGCGACUCUUUGGCCUGUAACUGACGCUGAGGCGCGAAAGCGUGGGGAGCGAACAGG
rnacentral:rRNA from 1 species